rnacentral:rRNA from 1 species
AGGCAGCAGUGGGGAAUAUUGCACAAUGGGCGCAAGCCUGAUGCAGCCAUGCCGCGUGUAUGAAGAAGGCCUUCGGGUUGUAAAGUACUUUCAGCAGUGAGGAAGGUGGGUAUGUUAAUAGCAUACUCAUUUGACGUUAGCUGCAGAAGAAGCACCGGCUAACUCCGUGCCAGCAGCCGCGGUAAUACGGAGGGUGCGAGCGUUAAUCGGAAUUACUGGGCGUAAAGCGCAUGCAGGUGGUUUGUUAAGUCAGAUGUGAAAGCCCCGGGGCUCAACCUCGGAAUUGCAUUUGAAACUGGCAAACUAGAGUACUGUAGAGGGGGUAGGAAUUUCAGGUGUAGCGGUGAAAUGCGUAGAGAUCUGAAGGAAUACCGGUGGCGAAGGCGGCCCCCUCGGACAGAUACUGACACUCAGAUGCGAAAGCGUGGGGAGCAAACAGGAUUAGAUACCCUGGUAG